rnacentral:rRNA from 1 species
CGAGUGAACGCUGGCGGCAGGCCUAACACAUGCAAGUCGAACGGCAGCACAGAGGAGCUUGCUCCUUGGGUGGCGAGUGGCGGACGGGUGAGGAAAACGUCGGAAUCUGCCUAUUUGUGGGGGAUAACGUAGGGAAACUUACGCUAAUACCGCAUACGACCUACGGGUGAAAGCGGAGGACCUUCGGGCUUCGCGCAGAUAGAUGAGCCGACGUCGGAUUAGCUAGUUGGCGGGUAAAGGCCCACCAAGGCGACGAUCCGUAGCUGGUCUGAGAGGAUGAUCAGCCACACUGGAACUGAGACACGGUCCAGACUCCUACGGGAGGCAGCAGGUGGGAAUAUUGGACAAGUGGGCGCAAGCCUGAUCCAGCCAUGCCGCGUGUGUGAAGAGGCCUCGGUUGUAAGCUACGUUUAGUCCGGAAAGUAAAACGC